rnacentral:rRNA from 1 species
GCGCGAAAACUUUACAAUGCUGGCAACAGCGAUAAGGGAACCUCGAGUGCCAGGUUACAAGUCUGGCUGUCGAGAUGCCUAAAAAGCAUUUCAUAGCAAGGGCCGGGCAAGACCGGUGCCAGCCGCCGCGGUAACACCGGCGGCUCGAGUGGUAACCGUUAUUAUUGGGUCUAAAGGGUCUGUAGCCGGCCGGAUAAGUCUCUUGAGAAAUCUGGCAGCUUAACUGUCAGGCUUUCAGGAGAUACUGUCUGGCUCGAGGCCGGGAGAGGUGAGAGGUACUUCAGGGGUAGGGGUGAAAUCUUGUAAUCCUUGAAGGACCACCAGUGGCGAAGGCGUCUCACCAGAACGGACCUGACGGCAAGGGACGAAAGCUAGGGGCACGAACCG